rnacentral:piRNA from 1 species
UGCCAAAAACCUGAGCUGUGAAGUCACCAU